rnacentral:pre_miRNA from 1 species
AAAAAGGCAAACCGUGGGUUCCCGUGCCAAUGUUUGACUGUCCAUUUUAUAUGAAUUUUUUUUAUAAUUAAUAUUUUUAUUGUUGUUAGAUGAUAAAACAUGAUUAAUACUUUAUGCGUGACUUAUCUUUU